UGGUGAUUUUCACUUACAUAGAGUACUAAUUUGAUUAAGGAAAAAUCAUGUUCAUUCAUAAUUUUCAUUUUAAAAGUGUAUUCAUUCGUUCUGCAAAUCCAUACUGUCAUGCCUAUUCCCCAAUAUCGUCAACGCGGAUAGUUCGUUAGUCGAAAAUACUGAAUAAUUAAACAAACCAAAUGGCAUCACUGGUGGUUCUUUUUUCCACUCCGCUAAACUGUCAUCUCAAACAAAAACAAAUGGAUCAUACAACUGCUAUGAAUACAUUCGACUUAAUCAAUCGGCGAGUGAGAAAGAUGAUUUCCCUCAUCACCACAUUGCUUAUUUCCACUUCUGUCACACCAGCCAACAGCAUCAGCUUUCCCGCAGCAGUAUCCUUUAAGUCCAGGGUGCUAUUCCGGGGAACAGCAUCAACAGCAACAGCAGCAGGACCUGGUCAUCGACAGUAUUUCGAGCAAUUUUCCCCAUCGGAGAUCCCGUGCUUCACGCACAUUGAAGAAUCCUCCUCAGCCACAUAUCUGUGUCAUCAAGGGCAAGGAGGUAUUCAUCAAUGUACUCAGUCGGAUUUGAAUCGUCAAUCCAGACAACCCGGAUGCACCGAUUCCAUUAUAUACCUUAUGUUUAUUAUACAUGGUUUUUUAUUAUUAUGUUUUCAAUAAAAUGAUUAAAAUCGA